rnacentral:sRNA from 1 species
CCUCUUUUAAUAGCUUGCCAGAAAGGAUAUAAUAAAAUUGUACAGCUUCUACUGACCACCGGCGCAAAUAUCAAUUUAUGUACAUUAGAGGGAUUUAGUCCUCUCGUUAUAGCUUGUGAGAACGGACAUAAGGAAACUGUACGAACUUUGCUCGAAAACAGAGCCAAUAUCAAUAUACGUACAAUUAAAGGAACUGCUGAAGAUAUUGCACGUCAAAACGGAAAUGAAAUGAUUGUUCAAAUGUUAAAAAAACAACAUUGCAAAAAUAAUUAAUUUCAAGGAAAACGGAGACCGUCUUAAUCCCAGAGUAUGCUAAAAUCGAGCAAAACUAUUCAUAACUUCAAACUCAUGUUUGAUUGGAUAUACGUUCACAAAAAAGUUUAUUCAAAUUUACUAUGGUAAAAAAUCGAAUGAAAUUUGUGAAGCAUUGCUUUUCUCUUAAAAAAUAUGAAUUAGAAAUUAUUUCACUUGAAGCAGCGUUGAUGUACAGCACCGGUAUUAUAAUAUUUUUACAAAUAAAAAAUGAUGCUUAUGCAUAAACAAAUUCUUUUUUAUGUUCAUAAAUGCAGAUUUAAAACGAAUUCGCAGGGAUCUAUACCACGUGACAAAAAACGUAUUCAUAUAGAAAGGUUAAUUUUGGUGGGAUGUUAAAUACUAUACAUGUAUAGGAUGGUUGUCAAAAAAGAUCCCGGACAAUCGCAGUUUUUUGUGUCAAUUUAAAUGGGUUCAUGUAUUUACAUUUUGAAUACCGAAAUGCUUGUCAUAAAUUUCUGAAUCAAACUGUAUUAAUUUUGAAUUUUUCUCUUAAGAUUUAAUCUAAUUUUCACUGUAUUAAAGGGUAGCAGAAAUAACGCAGAGCACGGCUCAAUGUAAAAAUCAUCCAAACAUCUAACAUGUAAUUGAGUUCUUUGAAAUGAAUAUGUAUAUGUGAUGUAAUCCUUUGUUUUUAUGGCUUUGUUACUGAAUAAAAUUCUUCUUAAUUAAAAA